AGUGAACGCUGGCGGUAGGCCUAACACAUGCAAGUCGAACGGCAGCACAGUAAGAGCUUGCUCUUCGGGUGGCGAAUGGCCGACCGGUUAAGGAUAAAUCCGAAUCUACUUUUUUGUGGGGGAUUAAGGUGGGGAACCUAAGCUUAUACCCCCUUAGACCCACGGGGGGAAGCAAGGGAAUCUUGGGACCUUCGCGGUUGGAUGAGGCGAUGUCGGAUUUGCUAGUUGGCGGGGUAAAGGCCCACCAAGGCGACGAUCCGUAGCUGGUCUGAGAGGAUGAUCAGCCACACUGGAACUGAGACACGGUCCAGACUCCUACGGGAGGCAGCAGUGGGGAAUAUUGGACAAUGGGCGCAAGCCUGAUCCAGCCAUACCGCGUGGGUGAAGAAGGCCUUCGGGUUGUAAAGCCCUUUUGUUGGGAAAGAAAAGCGGCAGGUUAAUACCCCGCUGUUCUGACGGUACCCAAAGAAUAAGCACCGGCUAACUUCGUG
rnacentral:rRNA from 1 species